UUGUGGUUUGUUGUGGGAAGUCAUCUCUUAACUCUACUUGAAUGCAACAGCAGCUAGUGAUGAACCUUGAAAGACAGGCACUAGAGUACCACAUAUCAGAGAGCCCUUUGCCAGGGGUAGCGAUAUAGCUUCCCUGAGCAGAAACAGGGUUCCUAUCAAAGGGAAUACAUGUGACUGCUUCUAUGGAGCAACAAACCCUGUGAGCCCAGAAACUGUUAAACACACUGAAUUGGAUGACUGAAGAAAUGCUCGUUUCCAGCAGUUAACAGUCGUUCCCUGCUCUCAUCUCCGUACCCAGAGAUCAGAACAUAGGACGAAACUCAGUUUUAAAAUCAAGCUGAAGAUAUUCCCCCUUCUUCUACAGAUAUCCACUUACAGUCUCAGUAUACUAAUUUUCUUGCACAUCUGUAGAAAAGCUUGUAUUUCAAGGGAACUUCUGGUAGGAGAGGAGCUUCACAAGGAAUAAUCUUCUUGCAAACCUGCAAAGACAGCAAUUAGUUAAGACUGCAGUGUUAUUUAAGAAUGGAACUCGGCUCCAGCUCCCGUUUGCUCAAUGCUGAGGUUCCUGUGGCAGGCAGUGAAGCUGAGAGUCCACUCCCUUUUCUUUGCCCCAGGUGCCACCGAUGUUACCCCGGUGUCCCCAGGGAGCUUUGAACCAGGCUGGUGGGGCCCAGUCAGCACCAGAACCUCCUCUGCCUGGGGGCCUCUGGCUCUUCCCCCAAUUCCUCCACCGUUGAAAUCUGUACCCUGGUAAAUGCCUGAGGGUCAGGGGAAAAUAUGUUGGGGAACAGCUUUUCUCUGAGGAAAGGCUAACGGGAUCAGGCCCUAAAUUAUUAUCCUCGUGAUAUCUCAUAGAUCAAAUAACAGAGAAUGUGGAAGUAUAAUUAUACUCUAUAUGAUUUUAAGUUUAGAAAGUUAAUGCCCCCUGUUCUUUUUUAAAGCAGCUUUUAUGAUUAUUGAAUGCUGUAAACUGAAUACAAAAUAAAAGUCUGAGUUCUUUUCUUUUCUUUUAUUUCUUUUUCUUUUCUUUUCUUUUUUUUUUUUUUGGUGAAGGAUAGGAUAUUUUUUUUAUCACUGGAGGUUUUUUUGGGAAGUUGAAAACUAAUGAAAAAUCAUUCUCUUUCUGGUGGGUCAUGUAUUUAAUUGGAUCACAGUAGGAAGCAAACGGAGUCAAGAAUGUUUUUCUUCAUUACUCGGAACGUGUACGGUCCGUUAUUUGUGAAAGAAAAUAUACAGAUGCUGUAACACAUACUCAGGAGGGGGGGACUACAACACAACAAAAACAAUAACAGGAAAACAACACU